rnacentral:tRNA from 1 species
GGAAGCGUUGAGCAUUGGCAGGCUCCGCGGAUUUGAAAUCCGUCAUACGUGUGAGCGUAUUGGGGGUUCGACUCCCCCCGCUUCCG